rnacentral:rRNA from 1 species
GGUUGAUCCUGCCAGUAGUUAUAUGCUUGUCUCAAAGACUAAGCCAUGCAUGUCUAAGUAUAAACAAUUCUAUACUGUGAAACUGCGAAUGGCUCAUUAAAUCAGUUAUAGUUUAUUUGAUAAUACCUACUACUUGGAUAACCGUGGUAAUUCUAGAGCUAAUACAUGCAAAAAAACCCGACUUACGAAGGGUUGUAUUUAUUAGAUUUCAACCAACCCGGCUUCGGCCGGCUGAUGGUGAUUCAUAAUAACUUUACGAAUCGCAUGGCUUUACGCCGGCGAUGAUUCAUUC